rnacentral:rRNA from 1 species
AACGUAGGUUCCGAGCGUUAUCCGGAUUUACUGGGCGUAAAGCGCGUUCAGGCGGUUUGGCAAGUCGGGCAUGAAAUCUCUCGGCUCAACCGGGAGAGGUUGUCCGAUACUGCUGGACUUGAGGGCAGUAGAGGGUGGUGGAAUUCCGGGUGUAGUGGUGAAAUGCGUAGAUAUCGGGAGGAACACCAGUGGCGAAGGCGGACUACCUGCCUGUUCUUGACGCUGAGGCGCGAAAGCUAGGGGAGCAACGGGGAU